ensembl:lncRNA
GAGGCAUUUUGACAGUAUCUGUCAAAUUUCCAUAUGCAUUUACCCUUGAAUCCAGGGAAAUCCCAUUCAGUUUGGACUCAAUCUGGAAGUUAUUUCUUCCCAAAAGGAACUGAACUGGAUGUAAACCUCACUGAAAGCCUCAGUAUGGGCAGAGCACAGAGAUCCUGCUCAGAGAUUGACAUGGAGCUGUGAAUGUGGAAAAGGUGCCGACCAUAAGCAGGAAGGUGCUGGUGGCGGGCUCAGCACAAAGUAUUCAAGGGACGCUAACCCCCAUAGCCAUUUCUGGGGAGAUGUCUUUGUAAAAUCUGAACUUCAAGCAAUUGCAGAUACAGAUUUUGACUCUUAAAUGACUUGUGAGGAAGCAGUGGUUUCUGGGCACACUGGUGUGUGGCAGGAACAGAGUGUUCCGUGCAGAGGAUCAGUAAAGCCCAGGUGAUCUGAGAAGUGAAAUCCAGUUGAGAACAGAAACAUUCCCUAAGAAUUCCCACCGCUUCUUGAAUAAAGCGACAUUGGAAUAUGACUCCAAACUGCCUCUAGGCAGUGUUUGUAGUAGUAUUAGAUGCAGGUGUGUUAGUGAACGGCAUGCAUUUUCUUUUAUACUCUGAUUCAGUUUCAGUUUGCAUUGUUUUCAUAAAGCCGCAUGCUGAAGAGCCCCCCAGUGUUGUUAUGAAUAAUGACCAGGGCUGGGGGGUCCCGAAACACGGCUGCCUGAAUGAGGUGACUGGCUGGCCCAUGGCCCUGGCAGCGUGCUGCUCAAGUGUCUUGUCUGAUGUGCUACCCGUUACACUGGCCCUGGGCAAGAAGGAGUGUUCAUCAUCGUGUCUCUGGCCUCACAAGAAAGGAGCGCUUUAUGUUUAGUCUGUUCUGUUCCAGAAGGCAUCAGAACCACCUAGAGUGCUAUUAGAACACGGAUUGCUGGGCCCCACCCUCAGAGAUUCUGAUUCAGUAGGUCUGGAGGGGGCCCAAGAAUUUGCACGGUAAGCUUCCGUUAUCUGGAACAUCCACGUGUUAUAUUUCUUACUCUUCACGCUGUUGAACUUAAGGUGUUAUUGCCAAGUGACCUGGAAAAUAGAGUGCUCAUUGGAACCGGCCCUCCCUCAUUACAACUUCUCCUUCCCCAAAGGCUUCUGGGCCACUUUUCUGUACUUCCUCCAUCCUCUACCAAUACUCACCUCCAAAUUGGAAUCUGAAAUGGGGAUUUCACUCUUUUCUGUUAUUAUCUUCUCUCUUUCCUCCAGUUCCUGGUGCUAGUAUAUGUAAAGGAAUAGUGACUAAUACAUGGCAGUAUGUAAAUAAGCAGUUGUGUUCAGGAGUUCAAAAAAAGGGGUAAUUAAGAAAGACCCAUGGUGAACAUGAAGUAUAAGCUCAACCUUGAUGGAUGGUGUUUGACUAGGCAGACAGGAGGCAGCGGACAUUUCAGACCAAGGCAGCAUCUUGGGCAAAGGCCCAGAAGCAGGACAAGCAGAGAGUAAGGCCUGAGAGAGGGGGUGUGCUGGAGGGAGCUAAGAAGGAAGAUCGAAUGGGUAGGGUGGGGCUGGAGAGCCAGGCAGAGUUCACAGUUGCUUUAGUGAGACGGGAAGCAUGGAAGGUUGUGUAGUGGCUAAAGGCCUGUGUCAAGCAGAUUAGUUAGGCAGUGAGUGUGCAGGACGGCUUGAGAGUGGAGGCCACGUGGCAAGCUCUUCUGGAAAUGCAGACCUGUGCAAGCCAGCGCUGGGCUGCUGCUUAUCACCUGAAAUGUCUCAUUCGCAGCCUAAGGCAUUGUAGAUGUCACCUCAGUGUGUCUGGGCAAGUGGGGCCACGGCAUG